GACGAACGCUGGCGGCGUGCCUAAUACAUGCAAGUCGAACGCAGUGGGGACGGGUGAGUAACACGUGGGUAACCUCCCAUCAGAGGGGAUAACACUUGGAAACAGGUGCUAAACCGAUACUGAUGGAUGGACCUGCGGUGCAUUAGCGAGUUGGUGAGGUAACGGCUCACCAAGGCCACGAUGCAGAGCCGGUCUGAGAGGGCGACCGGCCACACUGGGACUGAGACACGGCCCAGACUCCUACGGUAGGCAGCAGUAGGGAAUCUUCGGCAAUGGGGGAAAGCCUGAUCCAGCAAUGCCGCGUGAGUGAAGAAGGUUUUCGGAUCGUAAAGCUCUGUUGUUAGAGAAGCGGUAUCUAACCAAAAAGCCCCGGCUAACUACGUGCCAGCAGCCGCGGUAAUAC
rnacentral:rRNA from 1 species